CCUAAUACAUGCAAGUCGAACGCACUCUCGUUUAGAUUGAAGGAGCUUGCUCCUGAUUGAUAAACAUUUGAGUGAGUGGCGGACGGGUGAGUAACACGUGGGUAACCUGCCCUAAAGUGGGGGAUAACAUUUGGAAACAGAUGCUAAUACCGCAUAAAACCUAACACCGCAUGGUGUAGGGUUGAAAGAUGGUUUCGGCUAUCACUUUAGGAUGGACCCGCGGUGCAUUAGUUAGUUGGUGAGGUAAAGGCUCACCAAGACCGUGAUGCAUAGCCGACCUGAGAGGGUAAUCGGCCACACUGGGACUGAGACACGGCCCAGACUCCUACGGGAGGCAGCAGUAGGGAAUCUUCCACAAUGGACGAAAGUCUGAUGGAGCAACGCCGCGUGAGUGAAGAAGGUUUUCGGAUCGUAAAACUCUGUUGUUGGAGAAGAAUGUAUCUGAUAGUAACUGAUCAGGUAGUGACGGUAUCCAACCAGAAAGCCACGGCUAACUACGUGCCAGCAGCCGCGGUAAUACGUAGGUGGCAAGCGUUGUCCGGAUUUAUUGGGCGUAAAGCGAGCGCAGGCGGUUUCUUAAGUCUGAUGUGAAAGCCUUCGGCUCAACCGAAGAAGUGCAUCGGAAACUGGGAAACUUGAGUGCAGAAGAGGACAGUGGAACUCCAUGUGUAGCGGUGAAAUGCGUAGAUAUAUGGAAGAACACCAGUGGCGAAGGCGGCUGUCUGGUCUGUAACUGACGCUGAGGCUCGAAAGCAUGGGUAGCAAACAGGAUUAGAUACCCUGGUAGUCCAUGCCGUAAACGAUGAGUGCUAGGUGUUGGAGGGUUUCCGCCCUUCAGUGCCGCAGCUAACGCAUUAAGCACUCCGCCUGGGGAGUACGACCGCAAGGUUGAAACUCAAAGGAAUUGACGGGGGCCCGCACAAGCGGUGGAGCAUGUGGUUUAAUUCGAAGCAACGCGAAGAACCUUACCAGGUCUUGACAUCCUUUGACCACUCUAGAGAUAAAGCUUUCCCUUCGGGGACAAAGUGACAGGUGGUGCAUGGUUGUCGUCAGCUC
rnacentral:rRNA from 1 species